rnacentral:rRNA from 1 species
AGUUUCCGGGCUUGCUCGGAAAUUAGUGGCGAACGGCUGAGUAACGCGUAGGUGACCUACCCCGUAGUGUGGAAUAACUGCCCGAAAGGGUAGCUAAUACCGCAUGUUGAGCCGACAUCAAUGUCGUCUCCAAAGCAGAAAUGCGCUAUGGGCGGGGCCUGCGUUCGAUUAGCUAGUUGGUGGGGUAAUGGCUCACCAAGGCGACGAUCGAUAGGUGGUCUGAGAGGACGAUCACCCAGACUGGGACUGAGACACGGCCCAGACUCCUACGGGAGGCAGCAGUUGGGAAUUUUGCGCAAUGGGGGAAACCCUGACGCAGCAAUACCGCGUGUGGGAUGAAGGCCUUCGGGUCGUAAACCACUUUUUUCGGGGACGAUAAUGACGGUACCCGAAGAAUAAGCCACGGCUAACUACGUGCCAGCAGCCGCGGUAAUACGUAGGUGGCAAGCGUUGUCCGGAUUUACUGGGCGUAAAGCGCGCGCAGGCGGUGAAUGAAGUCGAAAGUGAAAGCCCCGAGCUCAACUCGGGAACUGCUUUCGAAACCAGUUCACUUGAAGGUGGAAGAGGGAAGUGGAAUUCCGAGUGUAGCGGUGGAAUGCGUAGAUAUUCGGAGGAACACCAGAGGCGAAGGCGACUUCCUGGUCCAAUCUUGACGCUGAGGCGCGAAAGCUAGGGGAGCAAACAGGAUUAGAUAUCCUGGUAGUCCUAGCUGUAAACGAUGGAUACUAGGUGUUGGAGGUUUUAACCCCUUCGGCGCCGCAGCUAACGCAUUAAGUAUCCCGCCUGGGGAGUACGGCCGCAAGGCUAAAACUCAAAGGAAUUGACGGGGCCCCGCACAAGCAGCGGAGCGUGGGGUUUAAUUCGAUGAUACGCGAAGAACCUUACCAAGGCUUGACAUGCACAUGACCGCGGCGGAAACNUCGCUUUCCCGAAAGGGNCGC